rnacentral:lncRNA from 1 species
GCGUAAGCCAUUUUGGGUGAAGACCUCGUCAGGCUAUUUAGCCUUUAGUCUUCGCCUCCCGCAGGGAAAUUUUGUAUUUUUUUCCUGCAAAAUAAACAAUGUUCA